AACGCACAUUGCGCCCCUUGGUAUUCCGAGGGGCAUGCCUGUUCGAGCGUCAUUAUAACCACUCAAGCCUCGGCUUGGUAUUGGGGUCUCGCGGUCUCGCGGCCCUUAAAACCAGUGGCGGUGCCAUCUGGCUCUAAGCGUAGUAAUUCUCUCGCUACAGGGUCCAGGUGGUUGCUUGCCAAAACCCCCUAUUUUCUAUGGUUGACCUCGGAUCAGGUAGGGAUACCCGCUGAACUUAA
rnacentral:misc_RNA from 1 species